ACACUUUCAGCAGUGGAUGUCUAGGCUCAACCAUCGAUGAAGAACGCUGCGAACUGCGAUACGUAAUGCGAAUUGCAUGAUUAAGUGAGUCAUCGAAAUUUUGAACGCAUAUUGCACUUCAUAACACAUACGAAGUAUGCCUGUAUCAGUGUCCGUA
rnacentral:rRNA from 1 species